CGCGUGAGGAACCUGCCUCAAAGAGGGGGACAACAGUUGGAAACGACUGCUAAUACCGCAUAAGCCCACGACCCGGCAUCGGGUAGAGGGAAAAGGAGCAAUCCGCUUUGAGAUGGCCUCGCGUCCGAUUAGCUAGUUGGUGAGGUAAUGGCCCACCAAGGCAACGAUCGGUAGCCGGACUGAGAGGUUGAACGGCCACAUUGGGACUGAGACACGGCCCAG
rnacentral:rRNA from 1 species